CCUACGGGAGGCAGCAGUGGGGAAUAUUGCACAAUGGGGGAAACCCUGAUGCAGCGACGCCGCGUGAGUGAAGAAGCGCCUCGGCGCGUAAAGCUCUGUCAGCAGGAACGAUAAUGACGGUACCUGAAGAAGAAGCCCCGGCUAACUACGUGCCAGCAGCCGCGGUAAUACGUAGGGGGCAAGCGUUAUCCGGCUUUACUGGGUGUAAAGGGGGCGUAGACGGCGGGGCAAGUCUGGAGUGAAAGGCCGGGGCCCAACCCCGGGACCGCUCUGGAAACUGCCCGGCUGGAGUGCGGGAGAGGUAAGCGGAAUUCCUAGUGUAGCGGUGAAAUGCGUAGAUAUCACGAAGAACUCCGAUUGCGAAGGCAGCAUACCGGCGCCCAACUGACGCUGAAGCACGAAAGCGUGGGUAUCGAACAGGAUUAGAUACCCCUGUAGUC
rnacentral:rRNA from 1 species